rnacentral:rRNA from 1 species
CACGUAGGCACCAAGCGUUGUCCGGAUUUAUUGGGCGUAAAGCGCACGUAGGCGGAUUGCUAAGUCAGGGGUGAAAUCCUGGAGCUCAACUCCAGAACUGCCUUUGAUACUGGCGAUCUUGAGUCCGGGAGAGGUGAGUGGAACUGCGAGUGUAGAGGUGAAAUUCGUAGAUAUUCGCAAGAACACCAGUGGCGAAGGCGGCUCACUGGCCCGGUACUGACGCUGAGGUGCGAAAGCGUGGGGAGCAAACAGG